GGUAACUAUGGUGGUGGUGGGAACUAUAAUGAUUUUGGAAAUUAUAGUGGACAACAGCAGUCAAAUUAUGGACCCAUGAAAGGGGGCAGUUUUGGUGGAAGAAGCUCGGGCAGUCCCUAUGGUGGUGGUUAUGGAUCUGGUGGUGGAAGUGGUGGAUAUGGUAGCAGAAGGUUCUAAAAACAGCAGAAAAGGGCUACAGUUCUUAGCAGGAGAGAGAGCGAGGAGUUGUCAGGAAAGCUGCAGGUUACUUUGAGACAGUCGUCCCAAAUGCAUUAGAGGAACUGUAAAAAUCUGCCACAGAAGGAACGAUGAUCCAUAGUCAGAAAAGUUACUGCAGCUUAAACAGGAAACCCUUCUUGUUCAGGACUGUCAUAGCCACAGUUUGCAAAAAGUGCAGCUAUUGAUUAAUGCAAUGUAGUGUCAAUUAGAUGUACAUUCCUGAGGUCUUUUAUCUGUUGUAGCUUUGUCUUUUUCUUUUUCUUUUCAUUACAUCAGGUAUAUUGCCCUGUAAAUUGUGGUAGUGGUACCAGGAAUAAAAAAUUAAGGAAUUUUUAACUUUUCAAUAUUUGUGUAGUUCAGUUUUUCUACAUUUUAGUACAGAAACUUUAACAAAAUGCAGUUUUGAAGGUGUUUCCUUGUGAGUUAACAAGUAAAGAAGAUCAUUGUUAAUUACUAUUUUGUAUGAAUUUUGCUAAAGUUAACUGUAAAGAAACACCUGCUGACUUGCAGUAUAAGGGGAAUCUAUAGUCUCCCCAUUUCCAAACCAUGAUAUGAAUGGGCGCUGACAUGUGGAGAGAAUAGAUAAUUUGUGUGUUUGCAAUGUGUGUUUUAGAUAAAUAGGAUUGGGUAUUUAAAUUAGCAUUUGUGAAUUUAAUAGCAUUAAGAUUACCUUCAAAUGAAAAAAAUCUCAAAAUUUCUAUUUGGUUUUUGUGCAUUUUCUUUUAAAAUGUAAUCAUAUGAUUUUAGUGUGUUAGACUUGCUGAGUCCUAGCUGUGUUUAGAACAUCUCCAUACAUUUACCUUGGUCAAAUUUGAACUGCUGCCAUAGGUUUUGGGUGUAAAGAAUGUUUACUGCCCUCCAUUUAAAUUCUGAAAAGGGAUAGUGGAUGUUUUCCCUCUCCUAUGUUAGAAACUAUUCUUAAAAACUUUUCAAAAUAUAGAACCAUUAAGCCUGCUAUAUCUGAGCAAAUUAGUGGGUACCUUUUAUUUUUCUUUUUUUAAAGCACAAGAGGCCCAUAAAUCUUGAGUUAUUUUCCUUAGUUUAAUUUUUUUUGAUACAAGUUUUCAGAGCAAGAGAAUAAAAAUGAUGCGUUAUUAAACCCCUAACUGGCUGGCAUGCUUUCCUGUUUGUAUUCUAUACAUUUUGCUGGAUGAAACCAAGGAUAGUUUAGGUAUAAUUGUCCAAAAUAACCUAACUGCAGCAGAAAUGUAGCACAGUUGCUUAGUACAGGCUUCUCACUUCCUACAGACCUGAAUUCAAAUUUGAAUAGUCUUGAGUUCAUAAAUGCCCAAAGAACACACUGUUAUUUCUUGUGUAUAUUUCAACAUAAAUCAUGUUGUUACCAAUUGGUUCGGAAGGCCCUGGUUGAGAAGACUUUUAGAUAAUAAGGUCAUAUAUAUAUAUAGUAAUAUAAGCCAAUGUCUACUGUUUUGCGCCAGCUAGUGCUUACAAUUUCAUUUGAGCCCUGAGUAUGUGCCCUGCUGUUACUCUUUCUUUGGUAGUUGAACGUUGAAUUCAAGUCUUUCUUUUUGUUUUAAGAAGUACUAAGCAAACAAGCAAUAAAAAGGGGAAUGGGGCGUGCUAGUGUUUGAAUAUGCUCUCUUGUUGCUCUAAUUCUGUGCCUCUGUGCAUUAAUAUUUGGAUGCAUGCAAUGCCAGCAUGGAAAUUGGUCUUCACACAUACUGCAGUUUUCCAGAAACAUUCACAAAACAAUAAAUGUAACAGACAUUCCAUUUGUUAAUGGGCAUAUAUGUGAAAAGCAGUGUAGAAAAUAGGCUAAUAUUAGAAAAUGGUUAAGUCCUUAAUAACUUCAAGUGUGGUUAUAUAAUGGACACUGUCAAUGUUUAUAACUUAAACCUGGGUACCUGGUCAAAAUAAUGCUUGGGAAACAUUAAAAUUGAGCUAAAUUGUCUCAAGUUCUUUUAUUCAUAUAAAUAAAGUUUAAAGGAAUGGGGGAGAUUAACAUUUCCUGUUUUAUGUUUGUGAAAUUUGUUUGACACAACCUUGACAGUAUCCUUUAAUGGCAUGAGGUUAAUUGUACUGUUAACCAACUUUCUGUGUUCUGGAACUAGUAUUAUAGUGAAAACAUUUGCAGUAAGUUGAUGUUUACAACCUAUAAGCAGGUGAAAUCUGUAUAUGUGACCUGUUUAUAAGUUGUAUUAGCUUAGAUCUUGUGAACAGUGUGGAAAAGUAAGCCAUGAGGAGAGCGAUUUAACCAGCUUUAAAGGACCUAAGAUGUGCUUUUUAAGCACAGUGUGGAUCAAAGGAAACUCACUAAGACAGGACUUCAGCAGCCUUUUGUGUUUGGACAAGUCAGCAUAAAUAAAGAAUGACAAGGCAGCAGCAAGAGCUUCAACUACAGAGAAGUGAAGGCAUAAGAUACUAUGAUGAUAGUGAGCAACUUUCCAAAAGCUAGUUAAAUCUGCUUAUUACAACUGAAAUAUCGAAGAAAGUCUAGCAGGAAGGAGCUCUUCGCCUUUUGGAACAUCAAUGAGAGAUAGUUGCCACAGUCACUAGGUCUAGCAUUUAGACCUGCAAGGAAGGGCAAUAAGCAUUAGGUAAGGCUUGAAUUUGAAUUUUUUCACUAAUUAAAGAGUAAUUUUUUGUAAAGCAAGGUAAGAGUAAUCUUUUUGAUUUGCAGGUUGAAUGAGAACCCUACUUGCCUAAAUGAGGAAUGUCUUUCCUACCAUCUAAAAUACGAAGGUUUCUGGCUGGGUAAGGUUUGUAGUUGACAGUAAAACCUGAUGACACCAUUUGUUUCCCUGCAAGUCUACAUUACAUAUUUCACAACUUUGUCCCUCUCUAGUAGGCACAUUGAUAAAAUUCUUCGACUGAAAACUACCUGGGUACCAUGUCCAACACAUUUUAAACCUUAGUUUUAAAAAUUUUCCUGCAAAAUAGCCAUAAGUAUUAAUAUCAAGUCAGUUGUGACCCCUCGUGUAUGCAAUUCAUUAUUAGUGUCUUCAGGGUAAACUCAAUUUUUGGUAAGAGAAAGUAGCUUCAGCUUUUGUGAAAACCAUUUUUGUAAUAAGCAUGACACACAGCACACUAAGCUGCCAAUCCUCAUACUAGGAAAACACCUUCAGAGGAACAUUAAAAGUUACCAGGGCCAGGCACAAUGGCUCACGCCUGUAAUCCCAGCACUUUGGGAGGCCGAGGCAGAUGGAUCCCGAGUCCAGGAGUUUGAUACUAGCCUGGGCAACAUAACGAGACCCUGUCAACAAAAAAUACAAAAAUUAGCUGGGCCUGGUGGUACACAUCUGUAAUCCCAGCUACUUGGGAGGCUGAGGUGGGAGGAUGCCUUGAUCCCAGGUGGUUAAGGCUGCUGUGAGCUGACUGCCCCACUGUAUUCCAGCCUGGGUGACAGACCCCAUCUCAAGAAAAGUUAUCAGAUGUCAUGGAUAAAGGUUGGUCUUCAAGUGGCCUCAUACGUUCUCUUGCAUAUAAAUUCAGGGAAUUCAUUGGACCAAUAGGUUACAUUUUGCUUCCUUUUUUGUUUUGGUUCAUGUUAGGCAGUGGGGGCCUAAUUAGUGCUCCUUUGUAAAAAAACGUUUUCCUGAAGAAUACUGAAUUACUGUUCAGACUGGUUGUUGUUGGUAAUAAGGGCUGUUUUUGCUGCCCCAAAAGGGCUUAACCAUUUAGGUGGUUAGUUUACUUUAAAAAACAAAAAUCCUUUGGAGACAGACAGUGAAAAUGCAAACUAGUUUCUAAAUUACCAGUUCCCUACAGGAAGAUGCAGUUUGCCAGUGUUUAGUCUCAGAAAAUGACUGGUUGGCUCUGUAUCUAAAUCAGAACCCAAUUUCUACACGUGUUGAAUAAGGUAACAGCCUUUGAUGAAUUUCCCUCACAACAUGGUUUUAGUGAAGCAGACAAUUUUAUUUUUUAAGGGCAUUGUUCUUUCUAGUUCAUUUCUUUUUAUGAAAUAAAAUUAUUUUGUUUAAACAUAGUUCCAUUGUCGUUUCUGAAAAAUACAGUAUUCUCAUAAGUUGUAGCAGCAGUUUAAAAAAAAAAUUGUUAUAUAAGUGGUUGGGGCAGAUUUAACUGAUUUUGUUAAACCAAUUUGUAGGUUACUGCUUCUAAUAUUACACUGCUAAAAAGCUGAAUUUAUACUCAUGUCCUAAAGGAGAAUAUGUGAUAAUGAAGUACAUUUGUUAAGUAACUAAUUGAAAUAGGCUUGGUUUUAAGAGUUCCGGUAUAUAAUAGAAGUUGAAACCUAAUUGACAGUAUCUCUUGGAGUUCCAGUAAUGUCACAAAUUAGUGAAUAAGCAUGCCAGUGUGCAAGGGUAAUGUAAGGAUUGUUAGCCUAUCUAAAUAUUCAAAAUUACUUUAAAACUUCAGUAUGUUUUCUGAUUUUUAAGAAUUCAGAAGUGUUCUGUAAUGGAUUCAGAUGUUUCAUUUGUAGUAUAAUGAAAUGUUUACAGAAAGAUAACUUUUUCAUUAAAAUAUUUUUAGAAAUG